GACGAACGCUGGCGGCGUGCUUAACACAUGCAAGUCGAACGGAAAGGCCCUUCGGGGUACUCGAGUGGCGAACGGGUGAGUAACACGUGGGUGAUCUGCCCUGCACUUUGGGAUAAGCCUGGGAAACUGGGUCUAAUACCGAAUAGGACCACGCGCUUCAUGGUGUGUGGUUGAAAGCUUUUGCGGUGUGGGAUGGGCCCGCGGCCUAUCAGCUUGUUGGUGGGGUAAUGGCCUACCAAGGCGACGACGGGUAGCCGGCCUGAGAGGGUGACCGGCCACACUGGGACUGAGAUACGGCCCAGACUCCUACGGGAGGCAGCAGUGGGGAAUAUUGCACAAUGGGCGCAAGCCUGAUGCAGCGACGCCGCGUGAGGGAUGACGGCCUUCGGGUUGUAAACCUCUUUCACCAGGGACGAAGCGUAAGUGACGGUACCUGGAGAAGAAGCACCGGCCAACUACGUG
rnacentral:rRNA from 1 species